UGACCUAGACUAUAUACAGUAUGGUUUUUAAAAAAUUGAAUUAUGUCUUUCAAAUACAGAUACCAACAGCUUUUAAAUGUUAUUGACUAAUCAGUUUUUUAAUAUUUUAAUAUUAAUAUUACUAAUAUUUUACACAAAUAUGAAUAAUAUAAAAAAUAAUAAUAAUUUUUAAUUAUUUAAUCACCCUCAUCAUUUAAUUUUUUUUUCUUUUUUCUGUGGAACAAUGAUCUUCCAUUCUGCUUUUUCCAUACAAUGAAAGUGAAAGAAAGUCAUACAGGUUUGGAAUGACAUAAGGGGGCCCACCACUCCUUAUCCUGUGCCACCGUCCUGAUGUAAUAUGAGCUGCAUAUGGUCCUGUAACCGCCCACCCCACAAAUGGAAAUUCUAAGCAAGAUUCAUGUUGGCAACUGUAAUAAAACAUAUCUCUUAUUCAUUCACCGAUUCCACGAUAGUUAUGCUACAUUGGCGUUAUUAUAUCAAGGCCCUCACCCCAGUCUCCAAAUGUCUGUUCUAUCUUUGGCAUCUUCAUCGCAGGCACUGCCUCUACUUGCAAAUGUCGUAAAAUGUUCAUCUGUUUCUCAUCUAUGUGAGCAAAUGGCUCUUCUGUGGAUGCAAGCAUGAUGUUUUGGAAACGUCUGCAAAGUACAUGUUUUUCUUAACUUUCCCAUUCGUUUUGUCACAUAAUUGUGCUUCUAGUGACAGACAUUGCACAUAUGUAGAGCAAUUAUGAAAUGUAAACUGCUAUUCAAAGGAUUUCUUUCAAAUUGAGGAUAUUUUGUAGAGUGUUAUGUAUAUUUAAAGGAAAAAUAACUUCAAUACAAAUGUAAUUUGCCUUCAUUACAAUUGUUAACAAUGCUGUUUUGGAAAUAUUAAAUGUGCAUUUUGAUGACAG
ensembl:lncRNA